GUGCUCACUCUGGCAGCACAUACAUUAAAACUGCAACAAUACAAAGAAGAUUAGCACGGUCCCUGAACAAGGAUGAUGCACAAAUUUGUGAAGCAUUCCUUAUUUUU
ensembl:snRNA U6 U6 spliceosomal RNA